CCUACGGGAGGCAGCAGUGAGGAAUAUUGGUCAAUGGGCGCGAGCCUGAACCAGCCAAGUCGCGUGAGGGAAGACGGUCCGAUGGAUUGUAAACCUCUUUUGUCGGGGAGCAAAAGACGCCACGCGUGGCGUUCCGCGAGUACCCGAAGAAAAAGCAUCGGCUAACUCCGUGCCAGCAGCCGCGGUAAUACGGAGGAUGCGAGCGUUAUCCGGAUUUAUUGGGUUUAACGGGUGCGCAGGCGGAAGAUUAAGUCAGCGGUAAAAUUGAGGGGCUCAACCCCUUCGAGCCGUUGAAACUGGUUUUCUUGAGUGAGUGAGAAGUAUGCGGAAUGCGUGGUGUAGCGGUGAAAUGCAUAGCUAUCACGCAGAACUCCGAUUGCGAAGGCAGCAUACCGGCGCUCAACUGACGCUCAUGCACGAAAGUGUGGGUAUCGAACAGGAUUAGAUACCCCGGUAGUC
rnacentral:rRNA from 1 species